rnacentral:lncRNA from 1 species
AUCUGAGUCCAGGUCUACUCGAGUGCAGCCAAAUCUGUAGACACAUCCAUAUCUCACUCAAAAGAGUGGGAAGCUUUAAAAACACCAUUCUUGUGCUCCUCUAAAAUAUUAGAGGGACUUCAUGUUCUCCAGUCCAUUACUCCAUGGGCAAGGUCCAUACCAUCUGGAUUUGGACGUCCAGCAAACCAACUAAUGAUGGCACGCGCUGCUCCCAAAACUAAACUGAACUCUUUAUAGGCAGAAAGGGGUAGACAUAAGCCCAUGUAGAGUAUGGCUCGACACAC